rnacentral:rRNA from 1 species
AUUGAACGCUGGCGGCAGGCUUAACACAUGCAAGUCGAGCGGUAGCACAGGGGAGCUUGCUCCCUGGGUGACGAGCGGCGGACGGGUGAGUAAUGUCUGGGAAACUGCCUGAUGGAGGGGGAUAACUACUGGAAACGGUAGCUAAUACCGCAUAACGUCGCAAGACCAAAGAGGGGGACCUUCGGGCCUCUUGCCAUCAGAUGUGCCCAGAUGGGAUUAGCUAGUAGGUGGGGUAAUGGCUCACCUAGGCGACGAUCCCUAGCUGGUCUGAGAGGAUGACCAGCCACACUGGAACUGGGACACGGUCCAGACUCCUACGGGAGGCAGCAGUGGGGAAUAUUGCACAAUGGGCGCAAGCCUGAUGCAGCCAUGCCGCGUGUGUGAAGAAGGCCUUCGGGUUGUAAAGCACUUUCAGCGAGGAGGAAGGUGGUGAGCUUAAUACGCUCAUCAAUUGACGUUACUCGCAGAAGAAGCACCGGCUAACUCCGUG